UACGGGGGGGGCAAGCGUUGUUCGGAAUUACUGGGCGUAAAGGGCUCGUAGGCGGCCAACUAAGUCGGAUGUGAAAUCCCCAGGCUUAACCUGGGAACUGCAUUGGUGACUGGCGGGCUAGAGUAUGGCAGAGGGGGGUAGAAUUCCACGUGUAGCAGUGAAAUGCGUAGAGAUGUGGAGGAAUACCGAUGGCGAAGGCAGCCCCCUGGGCCAAUACUGACGCUCAUGCACGGAAAGCGUGGGGAGCAAACAGGAUACGAA
rnacentral:rRNA from 1 species